UCGAUCCUGGCUCAGAUUGAACGCUGAAGGGAUGCUUUACACAUGCAAGUCGAACGGCAGCACGGACUUCGGUCUGGUGGCGAGUGGCGAACGGGUGAGUAAUGUAUCGGAACGCAGCCUAGUAGCGGGGAUAACUACGCGAAAGCGUAGCUAAUACCGCAUGCCCUUCGGGGGAAAGCGGGGACCUUCGGGCCUCGCACUAUUAUGGCCGAUAUCGGAUUAGCUAGUUAAGGGGGUAAUGGUCACCAAGGCGACGAUCCGUAGCUGGUUUGAGUGACGACCAGCCACACUGGGACGGAGACACGGCCCAGACUCCUACGGGAGGCAGUGGGGAAUUUUGACAAUGGGGAAACCCUGAUCCAGCCGUUCCGCGUGUGCGAUGAAGGCCUUCGGGUUGUAAAGCACUUUUGGCAGGAAAGAAAACGGCACGGGAUAAUACCCCGUGCAACUGACGGUACCUGCAGAAUAAGCACCGGCUAACUACGUGCCACAGCAGCCGCGGUAAUACGUAGGGUGCAAGCGCUUAAUCGGAAUUACUGGCGUAAAGCGUAAGCAGGCGGUUCGGAAAGAAAGAAUGUGAAAUCCCAGAGCUUAACUUUGGAACCUGCAUUUUUAACUACCGAGCUAGAGUGUGUCAGAGGGAGGUGGAAUCUGGCGUGUAGCAGUGAAAUGCGUAGAUACGCGGAGGAACACCGAUGGCGAAGGCAGCCCUUGGGAAGAAUACUGAUGCGGCGCACGAAAGCGUGGGGAGCAAACAGGAUUAGAUACCCUGGUAGUCCACGCCCCAACGAUGUCAACUAGCUGUUGGGGCUUCGGGCUCAGAAGCAGCUAACGGCGUGGCUUGACCGCCUGGGGAGUUACGGUCGAUUAAAACUCAAAGGAAUUGACGGGGACCCGCACAAGCGGUGGAUGAUGUGGAUUAAUUCGAUGCAACGCGAAAAACUCGUACUCACCCUUGACAUGUCUGGAAUCCCGGAAGAUUUGGGAGCGUCGCAAGCGAGGAACCGAACACAGGUGCUGCAUGGCUGUCGUCAGCUCGUGUCGUGAUGUUGGGUUAAGUCCCGCAACGAGCGCAACCUCAUUGACAUACGAUGGGCCUCCGACGAGACUGCCGGUGACAAACCGGAGGAAGGUGGGGAUGCGACGUCGUCCAUGGCCCUUGGCGGGCAGGGCUUCACACGUCAUACAAUGGUCGGGACAGUGGUCGCCAACCCGCGAGGGGAGCCAAUCCCACAGAAACCCGAUCCGGAUCGCAGUUCCGGAACGGACUGCGUGAAGUCGGAGUCCAUAGUAAUCGCGGAUCAGCAUGUCGUAGCAUGCCGUUCCCGGGUCUUUGUACACACCGCCCGUCACACCAUGGGGAGUGGGUUUUACCAGAAGUAGUUAGGCCUAACCGUAGCGAGGGCGAUUACCACGGUAGGAUUCAUGACUGGGGUGAAGUCGUAACAAGGUAA
rnacentral:rRNA from 1 species